GACAGAGGAUGCAAGCGUUAUCCGGAAUGAUUGGGCGUAAAGCGUCUGUAGGUGGCUUUUCAAGUCCGCCGUCAAAUCCCAGGGCUCAACCCUGGACAGGCGGUGGAAACUACCAAGCUGGAGUUCGGUAGGGGAGAUCGGAAUUCCUGGUGUAGCGGUGAAAUGCGCAGAUAUCAGGAGGAACACCGGUGGCGAAGGCGGAUCUCUGGGCCGAUACUGACGCUGAGGAGCGAAAGCGUGGGGAGCGAACAGG
rnacentral:rRNA from 1 species